rnacentral:rRNA from 1 species
CCUACGGGAGGCAGCAGUAGGGAAUAUUGCUCAAUGGGGGAAACCCUGAAGCAGCAACGCCGCGUGGAGGAUGAAGGUUUUCGGAGUGUAAACUCCUUUUGUUAGAGAAGAUAAUGACGGUAUCUAACGAAUAAGCACCGGCUAACUCCGUGCCAGCAGCCGCGGUAAUACGGAGGGUGCAAGCGUUACUCGGAAUCACUGGGCGUAAAGAGCGCGUAGGCGGGAUAGCAAGUCAGAUGUGAAAUCCUAUGGCUUAACCAUAGAACUGCAUUUGAAACUGUUAGUCUAGAGUAUGGGAGAGGCAGGUGGAAUGCUUGGUGUAGGGGUAAAAUCCGUAGAGAUCAAGAGGAAUACUCAUUGCGAAGGCGACCUGCUAGAACAUAACUGACGCUGAUGCGCGAAAGCGUGGGGAGCAAACAGGAUUAGAUACCCUUGUAGUC